rnacentral:rRNA from 1 species
UACGUAUGGAGCAAGCGUUAUCCGGAUUUACUGGGUGUAAAGGGAGCGCAGGCGGUCUGGCAAGUCUGGUGUGAAAGGCCGGGGCUCAACCCCGGGACUGCAUUGGAAACUGUCAGACUGGAGUGUCGGAGAGGCAAGCGGAAUUCCUAGUGUAGCGGUGAAAUGCGUAGAUAUUAGGAGGAACACCAGUGGCGAAGGCGGCUUGCUGGACGAUGACUGACGCUGAGGCUCGAAAGCGUGGGGAGCAAACA